UCCAGGCGUAGUGUUGUGUGACUGUAGUCCCAACUACUCAGGAGGCUGAUGCAAGAGGAUCCCUUGAGCUCAGGAGUUCAGGGCCAGCCUGGGCAACAUAGUCUGACUCUU
rnacentral:sRNA from 1 species